GACGAACGCUGGCGGCGUGCUUAACUCAUGCAAGUCGAACGGGUCUGCCCUGUUUUUUGCGGGGUGGGUCAGUGGCGAACGGGUGAGUAACACGUGAGUAACCUGCCCCUCACUUCUGGAUAACCGCUUGAAAGGGUGGCUAAUACGGGGUGUUCUGGCUGUGCCGCAUGGUGUGGCUGGGAAAGAUUCACUUUUGUGGUGUUUUGGUGGGGGAUGGGCUCGCGGCCUAUCAGCUUGUUGGUGGGGUGAUGGCCUGCCAAGGCUUUGACGGGUAGCCGGCCUGAGAGGGUGGGCGGUCACACUGGGACUGAGAUACGGCCCAGACUCCUGCGGGAGGCAGCAGUGGGGGGUAUUGCACAAUGGCGGAAGCCUGAUGCAGCGACGUCGCGUGAGGGAUGGAGGCCUUCGGGUUGUGAACCUCUUUCGCCGGUGAAGAAGGUCCUGCUCUUUGUGGUGGGGUUGACGGUAGCCGGGUUAUGAAGCGCCGGCUAACUACGUG
rnacentral:rRNA from 1 species